rnacentral:rRNA from 1 species
UAGGGAAUAUUGCGCAAUGGGCGAAAGCCUGACGCAGCAACGCCGCGUGAAGGAUGAAGGCCCUCGGGUCGUAAACUUCUGUCAAAUGGGAAGAAGGUUUGUAGGUUAAGAGCUAGUGAACUUGACGGUACCAUCAGAGGAAGUCCCGGCUAACUCCGUGCCAGCAGCCGCGGUAAUACGGAGGGGACAAGCGUUGUUCGGAAUUACUGGGCGUAAAGCGCGCGUAGGCGGUUGCUUAAGUCGGAUGUGAAAGCCCCGGGCUCAACCUGGGAACUGCAUUCGAUACUGGGCGACUAGAGUACGAGAGAGGGAGGUAGAAUUCCACGUGUAGCGGUGAAAUGCGUAGAUAUGUGGAGGAAUACCGGUGGCGAAGGCGGCCUCCUGGCUCGAUACUGACGCUGAGGUGCGAAAAGCGUGGGGAGCAAAACAGGAUUAGAUACCCUGGUAGUCCACGCCGUAAACGAUGUCUACUAGCCGUUGGGGUACUUGAGACCUUAGUGGCGCAGCUAACGCACUAAGUAGACCGCCUGGGAGUACGGCCGCAAGGUUAAAAC